UACGUAGGUGGCGAGCGUUGUCCGGAAUUACUGGGCGUAAAGGGUGCGUAGGCGGCUCCUUAAGUGAGGUGUGAAAUCCCUGGGCUCAACCCAGGAACUGCACUUCAAACUGGGGAGCUAGAGUGCAGGAGAGGAAAGCGGAAUUCCCGGUGUAGCGGUGAAAUGCGUAGAGAUCGGGAGGAACACCAGUGGCGAAGGCGGCUUUCUGGACUGUAACUGACGCUGAGGUGCGAAAGCGUGGGGAGCAAACCGG
rnacentral:rRNA from 1 species